rnacentral:lncRNA from 1 species
GCCUGAAGAAGAUUACUCAACUAUUUGAAGACUUAUUUUCUAUAUGCCUUUCUUAAUUUUUUUAUGUUAUAUGUCACCACAAAAAUAUGAACUCCCCAACCCCCUCUCCGUUUUUUGAAAAAGGAAAUGACAUUUAAGAACUUCCUCAUCAGAUUUCUCUUUUUAAAAUAUCUGUAUUAGGAAGAGCAGUCGUUUCCUGCCGUGGUUUUGACUUUUUUUAAAAAAAACUCUAACAUCUUUUAAAGUUUUUUUGCAUAAGUUAAACUGUUCCCAGCUUUAAAUUGUCCUCCCUAUAGGGCAAGUUGGACUAGGUGUUUCUAGUAUCCGCAUUGAGAAGCCCAGUGCUGAGCCACAAUACUCACUAAAAGGCUUUCCCCGUAGAGGUGUGACUGCCCCUAACUGCUAACACGGAUGGUUCACUGCAGUGUAAUGUCCAUCCGCUAGAAUACACCUCAGGUAGUUUUAGAACUUGCAGCAUUUGGUGUUUGUAAUAAGCCAACCAGUUACUUUAUGUUACUCAAUUGCCACGAAUGCAGAGUAAAACUAAUCAAGCUGACAUUCAAGGUCAACACUUAGUAAGGUCAACUCAGGAUCAAGUCUUAGCCUAGAAAGCCGCUUUCUUUACUUCACCACUUUCUGAACAUUCUCUUUGUACCAAUGGGCCUAUAAGAAUCCGUAUAGUCCAGAGUGCAUUGGCCAUCUUUCCUUACCAAUCUAGAACACUGCUGAAUUUAAAGUUGUUUCUUCUUAGAAAAAUGCCUACCUUACUAUUGAAGAUUUUUCCCCAAGUCAUAUAUUUCCCUCUUAGAAAUCAGGCCAGACGGCAGUUCUAGUUUGGAAGUUGGUUACAGUCCUUUGGCUGUUACCAUCUCUAGCCAUUCUGCUUUCUUCUGGAGAAUGAAGAGGAGAAAAGUGCAUUAAAGUACAAAAGGUGUCCUCUCACCCUCGGAAGAUCAACUGACAGGUGUUGGAUGAUCUCCAACAAGUAAAUUUUGUGACCAGUAUAAAGUUGAAUUUGUACCAAUAUCAAACAAAGUCUGACCAAUGUAAAUUAUGUGCACAAUUAGAAUAUCUUCUCCUUAAGGAGAGGUUGCUUGUUUCUGCUUUACCUGGAGUUUCCUUCUUUCGCAUGUGACUGGAAAACGUUUUAACUUUAACUAUCGAGGUGAUUCUUACUUAAGACUUUGAAGUGCUUUUCUCUCUUUUUCUGUCGUUAACACACAUCUUUUCUUGACUUGACUCAAAUUCUCGCCAUUGUUACAGUUUUUUAUGGGGUGUUUGGUGAUUAGUUUGCUGGCUGCCUUGAGGGAGUGAACAGGGCACGGUCAAGCGUCGUUUGAUUGUCUGUUGAAAUACUCUUUAAAUGUCGGCAUUCUCAGGGUAACUGUCAUUUGUUUCAAAGUUGAUGUGAUUGUCUGGGAAAUGGAUGGAUGCUUCCCAAUUCCCAGAAUCCAGAAAAAUGAAACCAGAUGUGAUCAACCUGAACUUGGGACACUCUCGGUCACAAGCGUUGAAGUCACUCAAAAAGGACUAAGCUAGUUAUUUCUCUGUGGGUCCUCUGUGUCUUUGAUGUUUUAAAUUGCUCAGCCCCGCCCCAAUAAAUAAAUAAAUAAAUAAGAAAAGAAAAGAGUUGUAGUUUUUCACAUUGUGGAAUGUGGAGAGGAACUCCUUUUCCUGUCCUGUGUCUCCUCAGCGGAGCCCAGCCCUGCCUGACACAGGAGAAAAGGGUGGCCUGUUGGUCACCUGCCCUUCAGAAUGUAGCCCCAUCUGACUCCUAAAACCCCAGUUUCCUUCAGUGCAGGCUCCAGGAGAGGGCAGAGACCCCAUUCUGGUCACUGCUGAACCCCUGUUUUUAGCAUACUGUGCAUGGGCCUGGCCAAUAGUCACAAGCUUUAAUGGGAGCCAGGGCAGAAGCUGACUGGCUGCUGGGUAGCCUACUUGUCAUGUAAGUCAGUUGGUAAAGUGAGAGUGUUCUUUUUUCUGCUUUUCUCCCGGGACUUUGCUACUGCAGUUCUCAAACAUGGAAGUGAGUUUAAGACCUAGUGAACACCUCCCACCUAGGAUCUGCAGUGACAUUGGGUGUGCUCUGAUUUAAUGCUUCUAUCAUGUAAAUUCUAAUUUCUCCUUAAGGCUGUUCAAUCCUGAAAUAAUUAAACAACUUGAAGUUGUAUAAAAUUCUCCUUGGAAACUUGUGAUAUUUUAUUGUAAUUUAUCUUGUAGCUUCUGCUUUAUGCCAACUUAAAAUUUGUGGAAAUGUUGUGAGGAACUUUACUCUUAUGUCUUUGUCUACAGGAGUAUUUUUAUAAAGGAUUUAUUUGCACGUUGCUGGUUAUGUAGAAUGUUACUUUACUACUUGAGUUCAUUCCAUGGGUAAAGGUAUAAUUUGAGACACAUUUUGCUAAAUAUAUGAUUUCAGGAUUAUGUUCCCUGGGGACUGAAAAUGACUGAUUUAACAUAUAGCUACUAAAUUUGGAAUCAGGAUUGUUGCGAGGGUCUCUGUGGCCUCCAUAGCCAGCAGAGUGGUAAUCCUCAGGAGGCAAGAAAGCAGUUCAGUUCAGUGCAACAAAGUACUUGGUGUUGCUUCCAAGUUCAGGAGUCUGACCUGAGUGGUUUAUUUUUGGCAUAUUUAAGCCCAGUUUACCUUGGUGAAAACUUUUCUGGUGAUAAUUAACUCCAGCCUGUGUAUAUACAAUAAAGCAUACAGAAAUCUCUUUGAGGAACCAAGUGAGCUAAGGAAAGAUUAGGUAUGAACACAUCAAAACUGUAUGACAUGCGUGUAUCACCUUCUAUAGUGGGUUCUAUAAAGGGAGAUGUGCUCAGGUCAGAUGUGCUCAGGUCCCCACGCUAGAACAGUUUUCUCUUCUCAGCCUUCUCAAUGGAUAACAGGUUACGCAUUCCUUCUCUUGAAAGAGCAUCCCUGUAUCCUAACAUCCCAUGUCCCCUGGUGCUGAUCUGUGAGCACAAGGACCUCCAUGCUUCCUACAGACUUUAUUGCUGACUGACCACUUAAGUUCAAUUUUAUUUCUGAUCGUUUAGCUACCUGUAAAGUGGGAUCUAGGAUUUGAAAUUUAGAUAUUAUGAAGUAUUUAACAUUAUUAAUGCUUAGGUCUAAUUUUGGAGGUAUUUUAUAGACUUAGGGAGAUUGCUUAUUUUAUAACUAUGAAAAAUGGUAUAAUAAAAUCUAACU